ACUCUAGCUCUAGGAUGUAAACAGAGUAAGAGAGCCGCAUGAAUUAACUACGCGCGCCUACCAUUUUCUUUUGCUCCCUCUCAAACCCUCUCCCUUUCUCUGCUGCUCCUCCGUAGCAGUACUGUUUGACAAACCGCAUCCUUGUCCUGUGAGUAUAAAUCAUCGCAGGCGGAACAGCUGCCCUCCACACCGAGAACGCACUGCGCGCCCACCGCCACGCCACGCGCGUACCAGGCUGCAGGGCGCCUCGCUAAGGCUGGGGAAAGGGCCGCGCUUUGAUCAAGAGUCCCAGGGAGAGUGGAGGAAAGAAGGGUAUUAAUGGGCGCGCGUUCAGAGCGUGGGAUGUUAGUGUAGAUAGGGAGGAAUGAUAGAGGCAUAAGGAGGAAAACGAUGCCUAGAAUGAUUAAAAUAACCCAGCAACGCAUUGCCACGUAUACUUGGAGAGCGCGUUAUGAAUAAACUCCCAUUGCAUUUGUUGGGGGGAGUCAUGUAUUAUGCAUUAUGUAUGCACAGCUAUCUGGAUUGGAUACCUUCCACCCAGACUGAGUCCCCCAAUUUGCUGCCAAAGCAGCAGAUACCGCCCCUCCUGCCCCGCCUGCUCAGGCUUCCGUGGGGCCCCGUGCGGGAGGCGUCUGUUUAGCCCUGAGAUGUGUCUGCCUGUUCCAGAGCUGGGCUAGGGCGAGAGGGAGGUUGCCUGCUCUCUGCCAGUCUGUACCCCACCGUCCCACCCCCACGCCUCCCACACGGAGUUCCCAAUUUCUCAGCCAGGUUUCAGAAGAGACAAAUCCCCUUUGCGCCCUGUGGCGCCGGUUUGCAACAGUCUCGGGCUGCCGGGUUUGGGAGAAAUCAAAGGUGCUAGACGGGAGAAUAUGGGAGGGGCAGGGGGUACCCGAACCGCGGGACCGGACUUCCUAAAAGGGGCAAGUGGAGAGCUUGUGGACCGAGCCGGGGGAGUCAGCAGAGACCCUUGUGAAAAAAACCGUUAACUCUUUCCUCCCCGGACAAACCGGACGUUUAAUUCCUUUCCAGGUCCUCUUUCCCCUUUUAUUAUUGGAAAUGCGGUCAUGCACAAAAAAUGCAUCGAUUCUGAUCAAAGAAGAGGAGAGGAGUAUUACUUCCGUGCCUUUUUUUGGGGGGGGGGGAGUCUUGAGCUAAUUAAAAUUUGGCUGCCUUCCAGGCAUUAAUUUCCUAGUUCACUGACUCACAAUUUUUUCUGAAUACUAGUGAAAGUGCACUGUAUGUAACCCGCAAACGUGUAUUCACAUUUUAUUUACGCUUCGACUUAGCUAGUUGCCCAGCCCCACACAUGAUUUGUUUGCUCCCUGAAAUGAUCUAUAUUUAAUAUAUAAUGUAUAUUCCCUCGGGAUUUUUUAUUUUGUGUUAUUCCACGGCAUGAAAAACAAAAAACAUUCUUCUCAUCCUUGGUCCCUCACCCAAAGGCAUUUUAAGUAAACUUUUCUCUCCCUCCACCACCUCCAAAAGAGAAAACAAUUCGGGGGAAAGGGGUGCGUGUAUAGCAUGUACGCUGUUCAAGAUGGGUUAUUACCCGUUGAGUUUGCAGCUCAGCGUUCAAGUGUUAAGUGAAUAUAGUAGCUUCCAAAUCCGAUGCACUGCACAAUUCAGCUUUAAGGAUUGCAAAUUACUCCUGCCUCCAGGCCUUUGCCGCAAACGCGGGGAGCAACCAAUCGCUAUGCUGGAUUUUGCUGCAAAGCGUCUUUCCCUCCGCCCCCUCUCUGGGCAGCACCCGCGUUCAGGUUUGCGAAAGUAAAGUAAGUGUGCCCUCUACUGGCAGCAGAGAUCAUCGCGCCUGGAUGUCAACGAGGGCGGGGGUCAGGUGGGGGCAGGAGCAGGAGCGUCCGAGGUGCAAGGUUUCC
rnacentral:lncRNA from 1 species